GGAAAUGUAUGGCGAAAGGUUGUUCCGACGUCCAGAUAAACGAUUUUAGCGAGAGAUUUUCGCUUUUUCGCAGCUCUUUUAUCAGAAAUUGAUUUGGGUAAUGCUGAUACAAGGGAGGCGCUCCCUCUCAGGUACUGUAAUCAUUGGUUCCAUGGAUACCACCAUGUUUGGAUGUAACACCGUCUCGAUAUCUUCGCGGAUUUCCAGCCCAGCUUCACGUCCGUAAUAAUGAGAAAGAACGCCGAAGGAAUGACCGUAUCCAAACGUACGAUAUUUCAGCAAAUCGUGUUCGAGAGAAAGGACUGGAACCUAAUGAAGCCAGACCUGUCGAUUCAGAGAUUACCGCACAAAGCAUUGGACCUCGGAGUCUUCCGUUG